rnacentral:rRNA from 1 species
CAGGACGACGCUGGCGGCGUGCCUAAUACAUGCAAGUCGAACGGUCUUUCUAUGGAAGCUUGCUUCCACUGAGAAGAUAGUGGCGAACGGGUGAGUAACACGUGGGUAACCUGCCCAUAAGAGGGGGGAUAACAUCCGGAAACGGGUGCUAAUACCGCAUAGUUUUCUUGAUCGCAUGAUCGGGAAAGGAAAGACGGCCUUUGUGCUGUCGCUUAUGGAUGGACCCGCGGCGUAUUAGUUAGUUGGUGAGGUAACGGCUCACCAAGACGAUGAUACGUAGCCGACCUGAGAGGGUGAUCGGCCACAUUGGGACUGAGACACGGCCCAAACUCCUACGGGAGGCAGCAGUAGGGAAUCUUCCGCAAUGGACGAAAGUCUGACGGAGCAACGCCGCGUGAGUGAAGAAAAGGUUUUCGGAUCGUAAAACUCUGUUGUCAGAGAAGAACAAGUUGGAGAGUAACUGCUCCAGCCUUGACGGUAUCUGACCAGAAAGCCACGGCUAACUACGUGCCAGCAGCCGC